UACGGAGGGUGCAAGCGUUACCCGGAAUCACUGGGCGUAAAGGGCGUGUAGGCGGUUAUUUAAGUCUGGUUUUAAAGACCGGGGCUCAACCCCGGGAGUGGACUGGAUACUGGAUGACUUGACCUCUGGAGAGGGAACUGGAAUUCCUGGUGUAGCGGUGGAAUGCGUAGAUACCAGGAGGAACACCAAUGGCGAAGGCAAGUUCCUGGACAGAAGGUGACGCUGAGGCG
rnacentral:rRNA from 1 species